AACGAACGCUGGCGGCAUGCCUAACACAUGCAAGUCGAACGAGAUCUUCGGAUCUAGUGGCGCACGGGUGCGUAACGCGUGGGAAUCUGCCCUUUGCUUCGGAAUAACAGUUAGAAAUGACUGCUAAUACCGGAUGAUGUCUUCGGACCAAAGAUUUAUCGGCAAAGGAUGAGCCCGCGUAGGAUUAGGUAGUUGGUGGGGUAAAGGCCUACCAAGCCGACGAUCCUUAGCUGGUCUGAGAGGAUGAUCAGCCACACUGGGACUGAGACACGGCCCAGACUCCUACGGGAGGCAGCAGUGGGGAAUAUUGG
rnacentral:rRNA from 1 species